rnacentral:rRNA from 1 species
AUUGAACGCUGGCGGCAGGCCUAACACAUGCAAGUCGAGCGGUAGCACAGAGAGCUUGCUCUCGGGUGACGAGCGGCGGACGGGUGAGUAAUGUCUGGGAAACUGCCUGAUGGAGGGGGAUAACUACUGGAAACGGUAGCUAAUACCGCAUAACGUCGCAAGACCAAAGUGGGGGACCUUCGGGCCUCAUGCCAUCAGAUGUGCCCAGAUGGGAUUAGCUAGUAGGUGGGGUAACGGCUCACCUAGGCGACGAUCCCUAGCUGGUCUGAGAGGAUGACCAGCCACACUGGAACUGAGACACGGUCCAGACUCCUACGGGAGGCAGCAGUGGGGAAUAUUGCACAAUGGGCGCAAGCCUGAUGCAGCCAUGCCGCGUGUGUGAAGAAGGCCUUCGGGUUGUAAAGCACUUUCAGCGGGGAGGAAGGCGGUGAGGUUAAUAACCUCACCGAUUGACGUUACCCGCAGAAGAAGCACCGGCUAACUCCGUGCCAGCAGCCGCGGUAAUACGGAGGGUGCAAGCGUUAAUCGGAAUUACUGGGCGUAAAGCGCACGCAGGCGGUCUGUCAAGUCGGAUGUGAAAUCCCCGGGCUCAACCUGGGAACUGCAUUCGAAACUGGCAGGCUAGAGUCUUGUAGAGGGGGGUAGAAUUCCAGGUGUAGCGGUGAAAUGCGUAGAGAUCUGGAGGAAUACCGGUGGCGAAGGCGGCCCCCUGGACAAAGACUGACGCUCAGGUGCGAAAGCGUGGGGAGCAAACAGGAUUAGAUACCCUGGUAGUCCACGCUGUAAACGAUGUCGAUUUGGAGGUUGUGCCCUUGAGGCGUGGCUUCCGGAGCUAACGCGUUAAAUCGACCGCCUGGGGAGUACGGCCGCAAGGUUAAAACUCAAAUGAAUUGACGGGGGCCCGCACAAGCGGUGGAGCAUGUGGUUUAAUUCGAUGCAACGCGAAGAACCUUACCUGGUCUUGACAUCCACAGAACUUUCCAGAGAUGGAUUGGUGCCUUCGGGAACUGUGAGACAGGUGCUGCAUGGCUGUCGUCAGCUCGUGUUGUGAAAUGUUGGGUUAAGUCCCGCAACGAGCGCAACCCUUAUCCUUUGUUGCCAGCGGUCAGGCCGGGAACUCAAAGGAGACUGCCAGUGAUAAACUGGAGGAAGGUGGGGAUGACGUCAAGUCAUCAUGGCCCUUACGACCAGGGCUACACACGUGCUACAAUGGCAUAUACAAAGAGAAGCGACCUCGCGAGAGCAAGCGGACCUCAUAAAGUAUGUCGUAGUCCGGAUUGGAGUCUGCAACUCGACUCCAUGAAGUCGGAAUCGCUAGUAAUCGUAGAUCAGAAUGCUACGGUGAAUACGUUCCCGGGCCUUGUACACACCGCCCGUCACACCAUGGGAGUGGGUUGCAAAAGAAGUAGGUAGCUUAACCUUCGGGAGGGCGCUUACCACUUUGUGAUUCAUGACUGGGG